rnacentral:rRNA from 1 species
UACAGAGGUGGCAAGCGUUGUUCGGAAUUACUGGGCGUAAAGCGCGUGUAGGUGGCUCUUCAAGUCAGGCGUGAAAGCCCCGAGCUCAACUCGGGAACUGCGCUUGAUACUGUCGAGCUAGAGUGUGGAAGGGGCGAUUGGAAUUCCGUGUGUAGCGGUGAAAUGCGUAGAUAUACGGAGGAACACCAGAGGCGAAGGCGGAUCGCUGGGCCAACACUGACGCUGAGACGCGAAAGCUAGGGUAGCAAACGGG